ACAUUAGUGGUUCAGUGGUAGAAUUCUUUCCUUCCACAUGGGAGACCUGGGUUUGAUUCCCAGCCAAUUUA
rnacentral:tRNA from 1 species